UACGUAGGGUGCAAGCGUUAAUCGGAAUUACUGGGCGUAAAGCGUGCGCAGGCGGUUUUGUAAGUCUGACGUGAAAGCCCCGGGCUUAACCUGGGAAUUGCGUUGGAGACUGCAAGGCUUGAAUCUGGCAGAGGGGGGUAGAAUUCCACGUGUAGCAGUGAAAUGCGUAGAGAUGUGGAGGAACACCGAUGGCGAAGGCAGCCCCCUGGGUCAAGAUUGACGCUCAUGCGCGAAAGCGUGGGGAGCAAAUAGG
rnacentral:rRNA from 1 species